UAUGAAUGGUGGAGCUGCAACGGAGCAGGCAGGCUGGUAAAGUAGUCAUGGUUAGGCAAAAAUGGGACAGAGAGGAAGAAAGCGCGCAAAUGUUUUAUGAGCUGGAGCUCAUGUUCAGGGGGAUUUUUAUUCUGAGCUGCAGAAGUUUGAAAGUGAAAGACAUUGUGUCAGGUUAUGCUGGUGUAAAUGCGCACUUCGCAAAAGUUGGCUGACAUGUAUGAAAAAAACACACACUACAGAAAAACCAGCAAAGAUGUGCAAAAGUUGCGCCAGAUCACCAGUGACUCGAGUAAAUGAACUCAUUCAUUUAACGGUGCACCGUAAGAGCAAGGACUGGAAAGCAGACAAUGGCACUACUGAACUGAGAAACUGCUGAGUUGCAUUUAAAGUGUUCACUGAAGACUUUCUGAUGAAGAGGAGGAUGAAGGGAGACAAACUGGGCAGAGACACAAUGAGGAGGCAGUUUAACCACAGGACUAGAAGGCAGGUUUCCACUGCAUUCACCCAUCCAGACAAGCGAUGGGGAAACCACCUCAGCUGAGCUUAUCUGCUGCUGAGUCAGUGAGAACAUGGUCAUGAGAUGGGGAGAUGGUGACCGCAGGCUGUGGCGCUUGGUGUCGUGGUUAGCAGCUGCCGGUCCUCAGUGACCUAAACCGUUCUGUAAAUCCCUCUGGGUAUAAUUGGAUGAAGUGUUCAAAGGAAGAAUAAAGUGGAGAGGUUUGAACGGCAGUAGGCAAGACUUUAAUCGAUGCAUUGCAUCAGAGGACCAUAAAAACACCAGCUGGAGAUUUAUGUUGUUAACUUCCUCCGGUGCUUAAGUUUGUUUGGCUUGUUAACAGGUUUUUGAGCUCUGUGGCAGAUUUUUUUUUUCAACAGUGGUCUUAACACUUGGUCAUGCCGACUCUGUUGGAAUCGCAUCUGGUUAAGAAACAUGGCUAGCAAAAAAUAGGAAUUAGUUCACGAAAACAUACAUUUACAGGACGUUCCUAACGGCUGCAGCUAUAAACAAACCAAGAGCUAAAAAUCCUUAGUCAGUCUUUUUCUAGCAGCCAUAUGGUCUCAAUCUGAAUUUUUUUUUU